rnacentral:lncRNA from 1 species
ACUUUAAAAAUAAAUAAGGCUCACACUAUUUUCUUGAAUCUCCCAUACUCCUCUGGUGGAGAAAUGAAAACCUACAUGCGAUCGAUUUCAAGUGGAUACUAUAAUCCCACUGAUUUAUAUGCACCUCACCUAACAGUUAUUGGUUAGCACAGAUUAAUAAGUGGAUAAUACCUUAUCCAUUGCUUCACUAAGCAAGAUACAGCAGGUUCAAUCUCUAAGUCCUGUGAUCUCACCUAACAGUUAUUGGCACAUUUCUUAGUUAAGUCAGAUCCAUUGUUCACCAGCAGACACAGCCAUCAUUAGAUCGCUCACCUAACAGUUAUUGGGCCCAACCCUAUUUUUAUCCCAAGACAUCUAAUGCUAAUAGAGUGGUUGUACCUUUCUGAUGCAAUUGAACCACUGUAACCAGUCGAGAACAAUCAACAUCAGGAAGGCACCCGCAUCUCUGUAAUGGUGGAAGACUGCUAGAUUUAAUAUUUAGUGAGAAGAUUUAGAUCUCUUCUAAGUUAGCAGAUCUGACUGACCAAGUUUAGAUUAACAUAAUCACAUGUCUAACUAACCUAGUCGGCAUGGGUGAACUCGAAUCAAUACGUAAUCUAAUAUAAAAUUUAAUCUCCUAAAAUGGCCAGAUAGUUAAGAUGAGUGGGGGUUCUCUCAUUGCUUUCCUUAGAUACCAAUGAAUUAGCU